UACGUAGGGUGCAAGCGUUAAUCGGAAUUACUGGGCGUAAAGCGUGCGCAGGCGGUUGUGCAAGACAGAUGUGAAAUCCCCCGGGCUCAACCUGGGAAUUGCAUUUGUGACUGCACGGCUAGAGUGUGUCAGAGGGGGGUAGAAUUCCACGUGUAGCAGUGAAAUGCGUAGAGAUGUGGAGGAAUACCGAUGGCGAAGGCAGCCCCCUGGGAUAACACUGACGCUCAUGCACGAAAGCGUGGGGAGCAAACAGGA
rnacentral:rRNA from 1 species